rnacentral:rRNA from 1 species
GACGAACGCUGGCGGCGUGCUUAGCACAUGCAAGUCGAGCGGUAAGGCCCUUUCGGGGGUACACGAGCGGCGAACGGGUGAGUAACACGUGGGUGACCUGCCCUCAGCUCUGGGAUAAGCCUGGGAAACCGGGUCUAAUACCGGAUAUGACUCCAUGACGCAUGUUGUGGGGUGGAAAGCCUUGUGCGGCUGAGGAUGGGCCCGCGGCCUAUCAGCUUGUUGGUGGGGUGANGGCCUACCAAGGCGACGACGGGUAGCCGGCCUGAGAGGGCGACCGGCCACACUGGGACUGAGACACGGCCCAGACUCCUACGGGAGGCAGCAGUGGGGAAUCUUGCGCAAUGGGCGAAAGCCUGACGCAGCGACGCCGCGUGAGGGAUGACGGCCU